CGUGGCGCAUUCUCAUUCUCAAAUCCAGUAAAGCAGGCAAGCAGCCUCGAAAAUCCUAAUUUUUCUUUCUAGCUUCUCUUCUCCUCUAACCUCGUCCUCUAGUCCUCCGCCUCUGCGACAUCACCAUCGCCAUCGUCAGCCGUCUUCUCCAAUUCAAUCGAGACUCCAGAACUUGUGCUUCUGCAGCCUCGUCAUGAACAAGCUCCACGAUCAAGUCUUUAAAUAUCAAUCGUUCGAUAUCCAGUACUAAACCCGGUAUCUCAAUGUUGAAGUUGAUCCAAUUUGGUGAUCCAUAUGUUAGAUCUUUGUCUAUGAUGGUUGUCAGAAAGUCAUCCUCAUCAUCUAAGCUUUGAGGCAAGCUAAUAGGUUGGAGCUGAUCUAUUUCUUUAUGAAUUUGUUGCAGUAGCUGUGGGCCAGUCGUUAAAAGCCUCGACUUCGUUUGAGCGAGCUUUUGAGAUAUAAUUUCGUUCACUACAUCAAACAGGAGCCUUCUUCUACAUCGGUCAUUGGUUCUUGUUUUUCGGUCUUCAUUGUAGGAUCUCUUAUCGGAUUCAAAUCUGCUUCCUUUGGUUUGUUCGAGCACAUAGAACAGUUUUGGGUUGAUUACUUCCUGUGAUUGGUGGACAAGAUGAUCUUCUAUGUGAUCACGGUUAUGUAGGAAUCCUGAGGCGAAGAGUAUUUCAGAAACGUAUGACUUAUCUAGAUUCAAGUCUCGGUUAUUAGGAGCCGGCUCUUUGAUGUCCUCUCGUUUCUGAUAAUCAGUCAAACAACUGAAAUCUGGUUUUAUGCUAUCAGGGGAAGUUGGCUCGGCGUUUUUAAUUUCUGCUUCAGUAUAUAUUGCAUUACUCUCAAAAUCUGCAUAAAAUUCAGAUAACAUUCACUUAUGUUUUUUCCUUCAAAGAGUUUUCUUCAACAAUGUUUGGAUAUAUAUUGAAAUACCAUUUUGUGUUAAAAUGUAAACUGUUUAUUUCCAUCCUAAACAAAAGGUUGCGUAUUUCUUUUCUCCUUUAUUGUAAGCUUCUUCCACUUAGCUUCUAUUGUCGACAUUUUUAUAAACCAAAUCCUUCCAGCCAGGGAAAGAUUUUGAAGGAAAACAUACCCUCAUUUCCCUUCUGUCCCUUUCACACCUUCCCUUACCUCCAAUCCAAAUGAUACACUUAUAAAAUCAUGGACAGAAUAGUAGCUAGAGAACUUGGGUGCUGGUCGUUUAUGUUAGAGUAUUUAACAUAUCAUGGGGCUUCAACCAUCCGCUUAAGCUUUUAGUUAAUUGGAUCCUUGACAUGGUAUCAUAGCCAUCGUGACUAGAGGUCACAGGUUCGAAAUUCAACCAAUCCUCAAAUUCAAGUGGAAUAUGUCGCACUAGGUACGAGGAGAGCCCGAGCUGCACUCACACUUCUAGCCCAAAGACCUCUUGUGUGAGGGGGCCUGUUAAAGUAUAUAACAUAUCUUAGGACUUGAACCAUCAGCUUAAGCUUUGGUUGAGUUGGUUCCAUGACAGUUUAGUCAAACUAGAAUACGUUCAACUGGAUUUACAUAUGUUUUGCUUCCACAUAAUUGUCAUGGUUGUCUAAGAUUGUUUGAUUCCCCUUAAGUCUUCCCUAAGAUUGAGAAAACUAAUACUAUAUCUUUUAGGAUAGAUAAUUAACUUGCAAUGAACUAGUGAAAGAUUGCUAUCUUUACCUCUGAAUGCCGUUGGUUUCUUUUUCACCGGAGAUGGAGAUUCAUCAUCAUAGAAACUUGCAUCUAGGACUGAAACGGGGCUAGGUUGCUCCGUUACAUUUAUUGCUAGCUCUUCAAAUGCUAUAUUACCUUGAGUUCCUUCCGGUUUCUAUUAUAACAAAAGACGGUUAGUGAAGGUGAAUACAUUAGAGUACUGUUUGAUCAUGAAUUUAAUGGUAGUCAAUGACACAAACGAAAAGACGAGAAGUAUAUCUUACUUGGUCGCCCUUUACUUCUGUGUGUUGCUGGCUCGUAAGUGCUGAGUCACUGCUAAACUCACUUGAUUGGUCAUCAGCUGGUUCUUGCAAUGGUGAUAAAUUCCAUGACAGCUUUUGAUUUUGCGAGAUAGCUUGCUUUCGGUUCUUUACUUUGGAGCUGGAUUUUAUUGCUGGGGUAAUUCCGUUUAUUUGUGUGCGUCCAGUGUCUGUGAUCCUAACUGAGCUUCUCAGAUUCGACCUGGUCGUACUUUCAGGUGCUUUGGAUGUUCUUAUUGGCCUCGGAGUUAUUUCUCUCGAAUACUUGUUCAAGAUGUGAUGAGUUUCUUUGUGAUUUUUUGCAGUUUUCUUCUGUGCUGAAUCCUUCUUUCCGUCUACAGGCUGAAUCCUGAUCGUCUGCAAUCUUGCAAGCGGUAUAUCGUGUAUGACUUGAGUUGCUUGUUUUCUUGAUUCUUUUGCGGUUUUAUUCAGCUUUGUUUCCGUAGUUGAAUUAUCGUCCUCAGAAGACCUGAACCCUUUACUUGUUGGUGGAGUAGCUUGCUUCGAGCCCGGUUUUUGGCUAAUUUGAUAGGAGCCGAUGUUUUUCAUAUGAGACGUGCAAUGUUCCUGUCGAACCUCCAGCGUGCGCUUCUCCCUAUGCAUUGAUUCGAGAAUCUGUUUUAAAGCUCUAAGAUCCUUUCCAGAUCUUUUGAAAUCGAGAUCAGCCAACCUUUUCUCCAUUGCACCAUAGACAGUUGGAGGAUGGUGUAUAGAUUCCGAAUGAGCUUCGUCGUAUGUGGAAUCUGUUUGCCCUGCCUUGGCUUUGUUUAACCGUGGCAUUCUAGAUUCCUUGCAAUUACUUCUCGGGGUAUGUAAAUCAUCUUCAACCUUGCUUGCAUCAAUGUUCCGUGAUGAUCUCGAGAAUGAAUUUGAAUUUCGGAUAAUGCUCGAGUCAUCAUGCUCCGUCUGACGCCUGUUGGGUGAUUUAUAAUCCGGCAGUACUUCAAGCCCCAUCAACUUCGCCACUAUAUUAGACGGUGUCCUGCAACUUGCUGGCUCAUUUAAGUCUUGAACAGGCGCUUUCAUGUUUCGCUGCUUACUAUCCAAGGAUAGCCUCGGGAGGUCUCUAAGUUUCAAGGUAGAAAUGUUGCAGUCCCUUGCUUCCCUGCCGUCAUAAGAGAAUCGAGCAAUAUCCUUGUUCCUUGGAGUUACCGCAGGUGCACUAUGGUUCGAACUAAUCGACGGGAAUGAGUCAUUAAGCGCCGCGAGUCGCGGACUAUCCGGUCUGGAUGUAUUGGAAAGUCCACGGAAUUCCAAAUGCUUGGCAUCAUAUGUUGCCACACCUCUUUGUGCGGAUUUUUUUGGCGAUGGACUGUUGGAGAAUGUCUCUUUGUCGUGUUUCUUGUGGUGGUGGCUUAUUUUUGCUGGUGAACUUGGUCGGCGAGGUGAGGAAUGUGGCUUGCUUGCUCGGGAAUCUGAAUAUUGUCGUUCGCAGGAAAUGGUCUCCGUGGAUGGGGACUGCUCAGGCUUUGUUGCAGAUUCAUAGUCUGAUGACGAUAUAGUUGUAGAGUCGGAACACGAAAAGGAGUGUCGGGAUGAUUCUAUAGGGUUCACUUGCCUCUCUUUUAUGACAUUCCGAUGUUUUUCCUGCAAACAAACAAUUUUAUAUAUCAUCUCGUAAUACUUAUUAUCAGAUCGAGGAACAAUUUUAUAUAUCAUUUGAAACAUUUGAUUGGAAUAAUCUAACGCGGAUCAUAUUACUUAGAAAA